rnacentral:rRNA from 1 species
GAAACUGCAGACGGCUCCAUUAGCAGUUAUAAUUUCUUUGAUUAUGGAUGUAACCUUAAUAUUUUUGAUGUUAUGUUAUUCUCCGGGAUAAUAUAACAUGAUUAAAGGGCAUUGAUAAAUGGAUAACCUUGAGAAAUUGAGGCUAAUACAUGCUAAAAUAGUGGUCGACUCUCUUAAGAGUCAAUUGACUGCUUUUGAACUUGUUAAUGUAAAUAAAGGUUGAAUAACCAACCUUAAAAAAAUAUAAAUAAAUGAUGGUUAACAAUUUAUCGAAUCUGUUGAAGAGCCAAAGGUUUAAGCCUUUUUUCCAUUUUAUGUAAAAGUAAAAGGAUUUGGAUAUAAUUACGUAUCUGAAAGCUCUUCAAAGUCAAACAGAUGUUUCAUUCAAAUUUCUGGCCUAUCAAUUAGAAGCUAGGGUAGUUGCCUAGCUUGAUUAUAACGGAUCCGGGGAAUUAGGGUUCGAUACCGGAGAAGGAGCCUGAGAAACGGCUCCUGUCAUUAGGAUGAACAGCAGGCGCGAAACUUUCCCAAAUUUGAACUUCAAGAGGAAGYGACAAGAAAUAUCAACGCGGUGACCUAAACGGUCACUGUUUUGUUGAAAUGAGGACAAGUUAAAAAUCUUACCGAUAAUCAAUUAGAGGGCAAGUUCUGGUGCCAGCAGCCGCGGUAAUUCCAGCUCUAAGGGUUCGUUUAUUUUAGUUGUUGUAGUUAAAACGCUCGUAGUUGGAUGUUUUCUUGAUCAAAUUUCAUUUUAUGAAACUUUGAUGAGAACCUUUGAUUUAUUAAUCUUGACUACUGUAUUUAUACUGUUGAUAGAAUAAUAAUCAAUUUUACUGUGAACAAAAUUUAGCGCUCAAAGCAGGCUGAAUAUUAUAAAUUGGUAAUUGAUUCAUUAAUUUGAACUUUUACCAAGCCAUGAAAAAAUUAGCAUGGGAUAAUGGAAUAAGACCAAAUUGGGUUUUUGUUUUCUUGUUGGUUUUUUACCUUUUCUCCCAAUUGGUAAUGAUUAAAAGGGACAGUUUUCGAUUUGUGAAAAAUUCAUGAAAAUCUUCGGAUUGAUUGAUAUUUACUAACAUAUCGAAGUUAUCGGGGGCGUUAAUAUUCAUUGGUGAGAGGUGAAAUUCAAUGAACCAUUGAGGAUUAACAGGAGCGAAAGCGUUCGUCAAGGAUGUUUUCAUUAAUCAAGAACGAAAGUUAGGGGAUCGAAGACGAUUAGACACCGUCGUAGUCCUAUUUUACCGUAAACGAUCUCGACUAAGGAUUGGGUCUGAAAUUAAAUUAGUAUCCCUUCUAUGGGGCUAGUUUAAUUUAUUCGACGAGGUAGACAUAUUUUCUCUCACGAGUUAAUUGCUGCCUUCAGGAAGACUCAGGACUAGAAGGAGAAAUCAUUAAGUGAACGGAGUCUAGGGGGAAGUAUUGUCGCAAGAUUGAAACUUAAAGGAAUUGACGGAAGAGCACACAAUAAGUGGAGCUUGUGGCUUCUAAUUUGGCUCAACGCGGGAAAGCUUACCAGAUUCGGAUUGGAUUAGGAUUGACAGAUUGAAAGCUCUUUCAUGAUUUCCAAAGUGGUGGUGCAUGGCCGUUCUUGGUUGGUGAAGUGAUUUGCCUGUGUUAAUUCCGAUAACGAACGAGACCUUGGCUUACAUGUUUGGUCGAUUAUGGAAAUUAUCUUCCUGAAUAAAGGUCGAUUUAUUCGUGAUAUUGAUUUGUGAAUUAAGUUUCCCUGAUUUUAAUUCCCUUGUGGUUUUAUUAUUAUAUCUCAAAUUCCUUUUCUAUGACCAACCUUGAAGGACGGUACAUUUCUUGUAGUGGAAGGAAGCUCAAGGCAAUAACAGGUCUGAGAUGCCCUUAGAUGUUCUGGGCUGCAC